rnacentral:rRNA from 1 species
CCUCAGUUCGGACUGGGGUCUGCAACCCGACCCCACGAAGCUGGAUUCGCUAGUAAUCGCGCAUCAGCCAUGGCGCGGUGAAUACGUUCCCGGGCCUUGUACACACCGCCCGUCAAGCCAUGGGAGCCGGGGGCGCCUGAAGUGCGGUACCGCGAGGGCCGCCCAAGGGCGAGACCGGUGACUGGGCUAAGUCGUAACAAGGUAUC